rnacentral:rRNA from 1 species
AUUGAACGCUGGCGGCAGGCCUAACACAUGCAAGUCGAGCGGGGUUUUCGGACCUAGCGGCGGACGGGUGAGUAAUGCGUAGGAAGCUACCCGAUAGAGGGGGAUACCAGUUGGAAACGACUGUUUAUACCGCAUAAUGUCUACGGACCAAAGUGUGGGACCUUCGGGCCACAUGCUAUCGGAUGCGCCUACGUGGGAUUAGCUAGUUGGUGAGGUAAUGGCUCACCAAGGCGACGAUCCCUAGCUGGUUUGAGAGGAUGAUCAGCCACACUGGAACUGAGACACGGUCCAGACUCCUACGGGAGGCAGCAGUGGGGAAUAUUGGACAAUGGGCGCAAGCCUGAUCCAGCCAUGCCGCGUGUGUGAAGAAGGCCUUCGGGUUGUAAAGCACUUUCAGUAGGGAGGAAGGGUUAAGUGUUAAUAGUACUUAACUUUGACGUUACCUACAGAAGAAGCACCGGCUAACUCUGUGCCAGCCGCCGCGGUAACAC